AGGGCUGGGAUGGUGGAGAGGAUGGCCAGAUGGAGACACUGGAGGGACUAACCUCUUCUCUGUCUCCCAG
rnacentral:miRNA from 1 species